rnacentral:rRNA from 1 species
GAUGAACGCUGGCGGCGUGCCUAAUACAUGCAAGUCGAGCGAACAGACGAGGAGCUUGCUCCUCUGACGUUAGCGGCGGACGGGUGAGUAACACGUGGAUAACCUACCUAUAAGACUGGGAUAACUUCGGGAAACCGGAGCUAAUACCGGAUAAUAUAUUGAACCGCAUGGUUCAAUAGUGAAAGACGGUUUUGCUGUCACUUAUAGAUGGAUCCGCGCCGCAUUAGCUAGUUGGUAAGGUAACGGCUUACCAAGGCAACGAUGCGUAGCCGACCUGGGAGGGGGGUGGGGCAAAACGGGAAUGAGAAAAGGGUCCAACGCCUAAGGGGAGGAGGAGGAGGGAAACUUUCGGAAAGGGGGAAAGGCUGAAGGAGCAAAGGCGCGGGAGGGAAGGAGGGCUUUGGAACGGAAAAAUCAUGUAAUAGGGAAAAAAAAAAGGGGAAAGAAACAAGCAAGGUUUGAAGGGAACUAAUCAAGAAGGCAAGGGUAAACAACGG